rnacentral:rRNA from 1 species
GACGAACGCUGGCGGCGUGCUUAACACAUGCAAGUCGAACGGUAAGGCCCUUCGGGGUACACGAGUGGCGAACGGGUGAGUAACACGUGGGUGAUCUGCCCUGCACUCCGGGAUAAGCCUGGGAAACUGGGUCUAAUACCGGAUAGGACCACUGCCUGCAUGGGUGGUGGUGGAAAGCUUUUGCGGUGUGGGAUGGGCCCGCGGCCUAUCAGCUUGUUGGUGGGGUGAGGGCCUACCAAGGCGACGACGGGUAGCCGGCCUGAGAGGGUGACCGGCGACACUGGGACUGAGAUACGGCCCAGACUCCUACGGGAGGAAGCAGUGGGGAAUAUUGCACAAUGGGCGCAAGCCUGGUGCAGCGACGCCGCGUGAGGGAUGACGGCCUUCGGGUUGUAAACCUCUUUCAGCACCGACGAAGCGCAAGUGACGGUAGGUGCAGAAGAAGGACCGGCCAACUACGUGCCAGCCGCCGCAGUAA